UGCAAGUCGAGCGCCCUCUUCGGAGGGAGCGGCAGACGGGUGAGUAACUCGUGGGAAAGCCCAUCGGUUCGGAAUAGCCCCGGGAAACUGGGUGUAAUACCUAAUACGUCCUUAGGGAGAAAGAUUUAUCGCCGAGAGAUUGGCCCGCGUUAGAUUAGAUAGUUGGUGAGGUAACGGCUCACCAAGUCGACGAUCUAUAGCUGGUUUGAGAGGAUGAUCAGCCACACUAGGACUGAGACACGGCCCAGACUCCUACGGGAGGCAGCAGUGAGGAAUCUUGGACAAUGGGCGCAAGCCUGAUCCAGCCAUGCCGCGUGAAUGAUGAAGGCCUUAGGGUUGUAAAAUUCUUUCAGCAGGGAAGAUAAUGACGGUACCUGCAAAAGAAGCCCCGGCUAACUCCGUGCCAGCAGCCGCGGUAAUACGGAGGGGGCUAGCGUUGUUCGGAAUUACUGGGCGUAAAGCGCUCGUAGGCGGAUUGGUCAGUCAGAGGUGAAAGCCCAGGGCUCAACCUUGGAAUUGCCUUUGAUACUGCCAGUCUUGAGUUCAGGAGAGGUAAGCGGAAUUCCGAGUGUAGAGGUGAAAUUCGUAGAUAUUCGGAGGAACACCAGAGGCGAAGGCGGCUUACUGGACUGAUACUGACGCUGAGGAGCGAAAGCGUGGGGAGCAAACAGGAUUAGAUACCCUGGUAGUCCACGCUGUAAACGAUGAG
rnacentral:rRNA from 1 species